UGGGGAAUAUUGGGCAAUGGGCGAAAGCCUGACCCAGCAACGCCGCGUGAGGGAAGAAGGUUUUCGGAUUGUAAACCUCUGUCCUAAGGGACGAAGGAAGUGACGGUACCUUAGGAGGAAGCCCCGGCUAACUACGUGCCAGCAGCCGCGGUAAUACGUAGGGGGCGAGCGUUGUCCGGAAUGACUGGGCGUAAAGGGCGUGUAGGCGGCAGUAUAAGUCCGGAGUGAAAGUCCUGCUUUCAAGGUGGGAAUUGCUUUGGAGACUGUACAGCUUGAGUGCGGAAGAGGUAAGUGGAAUUCCCAGUGUAGCGGUGAAAUGCGUAGAGAUUGGGAGGAACACCAGUGGCGAAGGCGACUUACUGGGCCGUAACUGACGCUGAGGCGCGAAAGCGUGGGGAGCGAACAGG
rnacentral:rRNA from 1 species